rnacentral:lncRNA from 1 species
GCCCGUGUCUCGGGCAGUCUGGCGGGGGGAGCCUGGGGCAGCUGGCCAGCUGGCCUAGUGAUCUGUCCGCUGGGGAGAGCUGGACACUUGCAUCUCACCUGAGCAUCCGUUACCAUAUAAAGGCAGAUGUCUUCCCCCAACAGCACCUGGGGGUUUACGUGUACUCUGUGUUCCUGGCACUGCUCAUGCCUCCAGCAUGAAAUUUCGCAAAGUUCAAUACAAUCUGAGGAGCCUCUAUCACUGCUAAAUUAGGAGAAUAAUAACAAGAGAGCAGCAAGAACGAGCGGCAGGAGACAAGCGGCUUAUGUGAAGGAUGGGGUGAGCGGAUUUGCCAGCGCUUCGUGUUCCCCUCUGGCCACAUCACUCGUCAGUGGUGCAAGGGAAGAAACUCUCCCAACUCAGACAUUUAGAAACAAAAAGUGUGAUGAGGUUUCACAGCACCUUGGAAGAAAAGCAGAGAUUUGGGAGGAGUCCCCAGCAGAGGCCACAGCCAGCGUGCUGCAAUGAGCCGUUGCCCAAGAGGGGAGCUCCGAAGGCUGCCGAAGCCCCUCCAGCAGGAUGAGAACCACAAACAAGUUAAGCUGCUUCUGUCCGCAUAUGAUGCUUGACUAACCUUGACGGUGACAGAGAUGGCCAGGCGAUGGUCACCUGCAGCGCAGCUGGGCAAUAGGCAGCCUCCAAGGCGCUCUUCUCUCCAAAGGUUUUUCAGGGACUGUCGAUCUCCUCCCCCACCUUCCUGGCUGGCCGUGCAGGGUCCAAGGCUUGCUUGUGUUCGCUGGCAGUGGUGAGGAAGCAGCGUUUGGAGACGAAAGUGUUGGUAGGCCCUGGGCUGAGCUUUGUAAGGGGUUGCUGGUUCUUUGGUGUGUUGAGUUUGUGUGUUUAUACAUAAACAUGCCUCCUUGGCUUCUGCUGUCG